GGGGAACCUCUGUUUCAGGCUGAAGUUCACCAGACACUUGCAUGCUUUGGGCUUGGCAGCAAGAGAUAUGCAAGGAGAACCCACCUAGGGAUCCUCACAGACCAGACUGAGCAACACUAAUGUACAUACAGAGGGUAAGAUGAUGUAUGGGAACUGUUGAAUCACAGCCUGAACCACUGAUUGAGCCCCUGGGGAAAGGACCCGGUCAGCCCUGGGAGCACAGGUGAAGGCAAUUCAGCUGUGUGAUCGCAAGGGGUGAAGCCUGGCUGCACCUCUCUUAGACCUCAUUUAAGGGCUGACUGUCACUGAGGAAGGAGCUCUUUUGGGAGAUCCCUCCUUGGUGAAGCUUUUCCCUGUGAACCCAGAAUCUUCUGAUGCAGGUGGAGCAGAAAGAAAAGCAAGGAAAAAAAUCUGCUCAGACAGAGAGACAAAACAAGCAACUGCUUAAGGGAUUUGGCAGUAAAUGGAAUUGCCCCCUUCCCCCUCCCCGCUUGAAGCCUGGUUCAGCAUGUACUGGUGGUGGAUCACAGUACAGCCACACUGAGAUGCAGGCAGACACUUCUGUCUCACCAGCUGCUCUGACAAUCCAUUUUCAUAAAGUAACGGGAGGGGAAGCAGAUCUGCAAGAUGGAGCUCUCGGUCACUGUGCGAAAGCUUCUCUGCGCACUGCCCUGUGCUUCAGGUGUUGGGGCUGUCAGAGAAGUUUGACAAGAGCUUUCCCGAAAGCAUACAGCAACCCCAGCCUUGAUGCUUUGACGUGUACCUGCACCCGGGCUUGAAGAUACGCAGGGGCAGCUGAUAUCACAAUGCAAUUUUGGAGAUUCCUACGGACAACCUGAAGUGCUGAGCUGUGAUUGAUGACUGGAAUACGCAUUCUCCCCACUGGGCAGUUAAUGAGACAAUCUCUCCACGUUUGCUUAGGAAAACACCAUCUCAAGAAAAAGAGCUCUGGCUACUUUAGGCAUUAAUAAUGUGCUGUAAAUCUUUUUCCCAAAGGAGAGGGUGUUAACCCCCGUAGCCUACCCAGAAUAAGGAAAAAUCUGGAUGGUUAUGUUCUGUCAACUUGUCUGCCUACAUAUAUAAGAAACUAUUGCAUGAUACUGUGCAUUUUUAUGCAGUUGCAAUGAUUCACCAAGCUAAGAUAUAUUUCAAUGGGGGGGAAUAAAAGCGAUUCUUUACAUUUCGCUUGUACAAGCACCAAAGCUUGUAAAGCACUUCAGAGUCCAUCUGGCUGAAAUGUGCUAUAUAUAAAUGUAAGAUUGUUAUCACCAAAAACACAUUCAGUAUGGUGUUUCUCUCACAUAUUUUUUGUUAAUUUCAGAGAACCAGUUAUUUUUAAUGAAUAAUUUCCAUUGGAAAGCUUUGUUUUCCCUGUAACAUAAAGCUUUUUUGGUUUCAGUCCCUUGUCUGGUUUUCAUUAGCUUUGCAAUGAAUUAGCCAAGAGGGCUUUUCCUCUCAGUUAGGUUGGGAAAGUACCACUAGCAUGUGUUUGGUUUUGUGGGAAAGAGCCUUUUUUUUCCCCCCCUUAUUAUCUGAUUAUCAGUUCUGCUUGAAUUCCAUUGCAGAUUCUUGACAUCUUAACAAUAAACUGGACCGUGCAGAAGCUCCUAUCUGCACAUGUGUGCAUCCUGCACAUCACUUGUAUGAUUAUCAACAUGUGGUUCCUAUCUUUCAGGGUAUGUUGCUUUAUACCUUGCAACUGUAUACAUAUAUAUAGUUUCAUCUUUGUGCAUCAUCUCAUAGCACAUCUUUGUGCUUGGAGCUGUUAGAAAGCAAGUCGUCAUAAAGAGACUGCUUUUGAGGCUGUAUUGAUAUGUAAUGGCUUGAUUCCUAAAUCCCAAGUAAUCUUUUUAGAGGGCAGCCCCACAUACACCAGACAAGUUUUGUAGAUGCAUGUCCAAGCAGUCAUCAAACCCUUUACUUGUUAUAAAAUAACCAGGAUAGGACCUAUCUCCUUACUCGUGGAAUUUAAGAGCAUACUAAGCAAAAAGUCCCCAUCCUAUAACAGACAAACCAGAGAAACUGUUGCGUAUCACUUGAGUUUGCCAGAGAAGUACUUGUUUAAACAGCUCUUGACUUAAAGGGAAAUCAUUCAAAUCAGAAGACAUGGUAAAGAAAUUAAAACAAAUGUAUAUAAAUAAUAUUACAUAAUGGGUUGCCCCACAUUUUACUUGCAUAUUAAAUGUUUUUUAUAAAGCCCUUUAUGACCUCAUUUGUGACUUCUGGGUCUUGUUAUUAUUAACCGAGUGGGAAGUAUACCUUACUGUAUCCCAGAUGCAGCUCCUUAUGAAUUCCUUCUUUCACAAACUGUACAGUUUAUGUAUAUGCAUCUGUGUACUUUUUCUGCUAGUAGUUUUUGCAGUAGGCAGAAAUCGUGCACAGUGUAACAGAGUUACAUCACUUCUCU
ensembl:lncRNA